GUCCCUGUGAAAGCAGGGACGUUAUUAGAGCGACCUGAGCGAAACCUGAUACCCACCGGUGGGUAUCAGGUUUUUU
rnacentral:sRNA from 1 species